rnacentral:rRNA from 1 species
CCUAGUAACGGCGAGUGAAGCGGCAACAGCUCAAAUUUGAAAUCUGGCCUCGGCCCGAGUUGUAAUUUGCAGAGGAUGCUUCUGGCGCGGUGCCUUCCGAGUUCCCUGGAACGGGACGCCACAGAGGGUGAGAGCCCCGUAUGGUCGGACACCAAGCCUGUGUGAAGCUCCUUCGACGAGUCGAGUAGUUUGGGAAUGCUGCUCUAAAUGGGAGGUAAAUCUCUUCUAAAGCUAAAUACCGGCCAGAGACCGAUAGCGCACAAGUAGAGUGAUCGAAAGAUGAAAAGCACCUUGAAAAGGGGGUUAAAUAGUACGUGAAAUUGUUGAAAGGGAAGCACUUGUGACCAGACUUGGGCCGGGCGGCUCAUCAGGGGUUCUCCCCUGUGCACUCCGCCCGGCACAGGCCAGCAUCGGUUCUCGUGGGGGGAUAAGACCGUCAGGAACGUAGCACCCUCCGGGGUGUGUUAUAGCCUGGCGGACGAUACCCCCGUGG